rnacentral:rRNA from 1 species
GAUGAACGCUGGCGGCGUGCCUAACACAUGCAAGUCGAGCGGAAAUACCAAAUGUACUCGUACAGGCGGUAUUUUAGCGGCGGACGGGUGAGUAACACGUGAGCAACCUGCCUUUUGCUGGGGAAUAACAUUGGGAAACCAGUGCUAAUACCGCAUGACGUCAACGGGGGACAUCCCCUGGUGACCAAAGGAGAAAUCCGGCAGAAGAUGGGCUCGCGUCCGAUUAGUUAGUUGGCGGGGUAACGGCCCACCAAGACCGCGAUCGGUAGCCGAACUGAGAGGUUGAUCGGCCACAUUGGGACUGAGACACGGCCCAGACUCCUACGGGAGGCAGCAGGUGGGGAAUAUUGGGCAAUGGGGGAAACCCUGACCCAGCAACGCCGCGUGAAGGACGAAGGCCUUCGGGUUGUAAACUUCUUUGAUCAGGGACGAAAGCAAUGACGGUACCUGAAGAACAAGCCACGGCUAACUACGUG